ACUGGGAUAACUCCAAGGAAACCGGAGCUAAUACCGGAUAGUUCCUUGAACCGCAUGGUUCAAGGAUGAAAGACGGUUUCGGCUGUCACUUACAGAUGGACCCGCGGCGCAUUAGCUAGUUGGUGGGGUAAUGGCUCACCAAGGCGACGAUNGCGUAGCCGACCUGAGAGGGUGAUCGGCCACACUGGGACUGAGACACGGCCCAGACUCCUACGGGAGGCAGCAGUAGGGAAUCUUCCGCAAUGGACGAAAGUCUGACGGAGCAACGCCGCGUGAGUGAUGAAGGUUUUCGGAUCGUAAAGCUCUGUUGUUAGGGAAGAACAAGUGCGAGAGUAACUGCUCGCACCUUGACGGUACCUAACCAGAAAGCCACGGCUAACUACGUGCCAGCAGCCGCGGUAAUACGUAGGUGGCAAGCGUUGUCCGGAAUUAUUGGGCGUAAAGGGCUCGCAGGCGGUUUCUUAAGUCUGAUGUGAAAGCCCCCGGCUCAACCGGGGGAGGGUCAUUGGAAACUGGGAAACUUGAGUGCAGAAAAAGAGAGUGGAAUUCCACGUGUAAGCGGUGAAAUGCGUAGAGAUGUGGAGGAACACCAGUGGCGAAGGCGACUCUCUGGUCUGUAACUGACGCUGAGGAGCGAAAAGCGUGGGGAGCGAACAGGAUUAGAUACCCUGGUAGUCCACGCCGUAAACGAUGAGUGCUAAGUGUUAGGGGGUUUCCGCCCCUUAGUGCUGCAGCUAACGCAUUAAGCACUCCGCCUGGGGAGUACGGUCGCAAGACUGAAACUCAAAGGAAUUGACGGGGGCCCGCACAAGCGGUGGAGCAUGUGGUUUAAUUCGAAGCAACGCGAAGAACCUUACCAGGUCUUGACAUCCUCUGACAACCCUAGAGAUAGGGCUUUCCCUUCGGGGACAGAGUGACAGGUGGUGCAUGGUUGUCGUCAGCUCGUGUCGUGAGAUGUUGGGUUAAGUCCCGCAACGAGCGCAACCCUUGAUCUUAGUUGCCAGCAUUCAGUUGGGCACUCUAAGGUGACUGCCGGUGACAAACCGGAGGAAGGUGGGGAUGACGUCAAAUCAUCAUGCCCCUUAUGACCUGGGCUACACACGUGCUACAAUGGACAGAACAAAGGGCUGCAAGACCGCAAGGUUUAGCCAAUCCCAUAAAUCUGUUCUCAGUUCGGAUCGCAGUCUGCAACUCGACUGCGUGAAGCUGGAAUCGCUAGUAAUCGCGGAUCAGCAUGCCGCGGUGAAUACGUUCCCGGGCCUUGUA
rnacentral:rRNA from 1 species